GCCAUAACACAGCCAGACUGGUUGAGGAGAGUAAACUGGUUGCUACAUCAAGCAGAGAAUGGUAUAUUCAAAGGACAAGAGAUAGAGCUUUCCAGAACCAUUAUGAAGAUUAUGGAGAGUGACCUUUAGUGUUCCAUCAUGUCGAGGACGCCAUGCUUUCUGGAGAGGGGAAGACAGUUCUAAUGACAUGGAAGUCAUUUUUUUAACAGAGGGGAGGAUGUAGCAGAGUGAUUUUUCAUGCUUCAUAAAUUAUGUAAUUUGCACUUUUGAAAUCAUUGAUUUAUAUUAAAAAUCUAUUUAUCAAAUUCUUAUUGAGUCUUUAGUUUAAUUAUUUCACUCUUGCAAAGUAUUUUUACUAAAGGAUAUUUAUCUUUUAUGACUUGAUUUGGUAUAUAAUUUACGUAUUGAGUAAUGUUACUCAUACAUAUUCAUGGGGGUUGAAAUUGAACUCUUGUUUUGAUUGGUUCUUAGUUAUUGGCGGUUAAAUUGAGUUUUCCUUUGUGUACCUUGGGUAGAAUUCACCUGGACACUGGUCAGUGAAAGACGUCCAUUAUUUACUCAGACUUUUAUAGCAGAAACCCAUAUUUACAGAUUGUGUAUUUAUUAUAUUCAGCUUGACAGUUUUCUAGACAUGACUAGACUCUGAUGUAGACUACUUCUUUGUACUUUGUGCCAAGUUCCUUAUUUACUAGAGAACUCACUCCACAAGUGAGUUUUUAUUCUCUGGUAAUAAAACCAUCCGAACCUUAGAAAGUCUUUCGUUUAUUUCAUUAUACCGGAAGAGACCCCUUUCACA